UCAGGAUGAACGCUAGCGGCAGGCUAACACAUGCAAGUCGAGGGGCAACGCGAGUAGCAAUACUUGGCGGCGACCGGCGCAAGGGUGCGUAACGCGUGAGCAACAUGCCCGUAUCAGGGGGAUAAUCCAGGGAAACUUGGUCUAAUACCCCAUAGUAAUUUUGUAAGGCAUCUUAUAAGAUUUAAAGCCUUGGUGGAUACGGAUUGGCUCGCGUGACAUUAGCUGGAUGGUAAGGUAACGGCUUACCAUGGCUAUGAUGUCUAGGGGUUCUGAGAGGAAGGUCCCCCCACACUGGAACUGAGACACGGUCCAGACUCCUACGGGAGGCAGCAGUGAGGAAUAUUGGACAAUGGAUGGAAAUCUGAUCCAGCCAUGCCGCGUGAAGGAAAAGAAGGUCCUAUGGAUUGUAAACUUCUUUUGUAUGGGAGCAAUAAGGCCUACGAGUAGGUUGAUGAGAGUACCAUACGAAUAAGCACCGGCUAACUCCGUGCCAGCAGCCGC
rnacentral:rRNA from 1 species